UUUAAGUUCAGCUCCCUGCAGAUUCUGGAACUUUCUGCAGGAGUGUGAAUGAGCUCUUGCAUCCUGUCUGCAGAAGGAAGAGAAAGGAUUGCCAUUGCUGUUGUGCUGCUGUCCUACAUUCUGUUGGAUCUUUCUGGAGAUAUCUGCAGUUACAGAAGUCACUCAAAGGUACUGUCUCCAGAGAUUGCUUCAGGAUUCUCCCUUGUAACUGUAUCUGGGUAGCGCUACCUACACCUUAGGGCCUCAUCGUUGUGCACAUAAUCUACCUGCAGGUACCUAGGAGUUUAACUGUUCAGAUGUAGUUAUUGAUGUUAUUAAGGGAAUUUUGUUGUCUGCAUUCCUGCUGCUAAAGACUCAUGUGACAGUAUCAUUCCUACAUCAGAGACUUUAUCAUCAUUCAGCAUUAACCAGGAACAGCAUUGUUAUUUCUGCUUUUAUAUGUGUAGCUCUUUAACCACAAUACAGUGUGUAUUUCCAUGUCUGUUGUUAUUUAAUGUCUCUGAGUUAUUAAGUGGAGGGUACAUUUAUACUCAGUGGGGUGGGUUCCCCAUAAAUAGAAGUUGCACUGAGUGGAGGCACUGGGUCAGAACAAGAUGUCCCGAUCCCUAU